UGGGGGGGAGGCCCGUGCUGGGACUGCAGGCGCACUGGCAGCCUCUUUGGCCCUCUCCUCCAGGCCUCCCUGCAGCUGGGGAAACUGAGGCCCAGGGUCAGUCUCCAAGGUCACUCAGCUCGGAGAUGCUGCUUCUCGAAGCGAGAUCUGUCCGACCCCGACCUCCAGCCGCCGUCGGGGUCAGACGUGGGCACAACGGGAGCCGGGAGGCCGCUGUCCCCGCCUUCACAGGAUCCCUGCUGGUCACACGGGGAGCAGCCGAGAUGCGCUGCGGUGGAGGACGGACAAACGGACUGCGGUCCGUCCAGACCACGGAACGUCAUUCAGCGAGAAAGAGAAACGAGCCUAACGCCACGGGAAGACGCGGAGGAGCCUUCAACGCACGUGAGGAAGCGAAGGGAGCCGGUCUGAGGAGGUUAGACGUGCGCGAUUCCAACCACAGGACCCUCUGGAAAUGGAGACACCCGUGGGCCCAGGCGUUGAGGGGGACGAACACCAGGGCCGGCGAGGACGCGGAGAAGGCGAAGCCUGUGCCCGGCUGGUGGGAACGUGCGCUGGGGCGGGCGCCGUGGGAGACAGGGUGGGAGAUUCCUCAAAACGUUAAAGAUGGGAAUACCGUACCGUCUGGCAGGCCCGCUUCUGGGUAUUUAUCCAGAGAGACAGGAUUCAGACAGACACGUGAGCCCCGUGUCCACUGCAGCGCUACUCACGACAGCAGGACGUGGAAACAGCCCAAGUGCCCAUCGAGGGGGGAUUCAAGCGGAUAAAGACGUGGUGGGUGUGUGCACAGCGGAAUACUACGCAGCCAUGAACAAGACCGAAACCCUCCCAUUUCCCGCAACAUGGACCGACCUGCAGGGCGUGAUGCUCAGUGAAAUGAGUUGGACAGAGAAAGACAAAUUCCGCCCCGUCUGCCUUACGUGUGGAAUCUAAGAACUUGAGCUCAUGGGGCCAGAGAGGGGAACGGUGUCACCGGGGCUGCGGAUGGGGAGACGGGAGACGCGGUCGCAGGCACGACCUUCCGGUUAUAAGAAAACAGUUCUGCGGCCUGCUGCACGGGCUCGAGGCCUGUACCUGGUGCUUGGAACGUGCCGGGAGCAGAUCUUCUGUGUUCUCCCCCCGAGAAACAGGCCCGCGUGAGGCUCGGGUGCGUGUGCACCGGCCUCGUUGUGGGGGGCACGUCACAACGUUUACACACGCUGACCAUCACGUUCCGCCUCAAAUACAGACGGCGUUAUCUGUCAGUCACAGCUCGAUAAGGCUGGGGAAAAGUGUGGAAAAAUAAGAGUGUUUGCUCCCAGAGAGAAGGACGGUGGGAACGAGUCGGAGCAGACGCGUCUUUACACCCUCUGUGUGCGUGAAAAUUAACUUGUGCCAAAAAUUAGUAAAGGCAUGUUUUUAAAUUAUGCAGAAAAAAUUAAUUAUGCAAUUCAA